rnacentral:rRNA from 1 species
UGGCGGACGGGUGAGCAACGCGUAAAGAACUUGCCCCCUAGUCUGGGACAACUGUUGGAAACGACAGCUAAUACUAGAUAUUAUGAGACUCUGACAUCAGGGACUUACGAAAGCUAUAUGCGCUAGGGGAGAGCUUUGCGUCCUAUUAGCUAGUUGGUGAGGUAAUGGCUCACCAAGGCGACGAUAGGUAGCCGGCCUGAGAGGGUGAACGGCCACAAGGGGACUGAGACACGGCCCUUACUCCUACGGGAGGCAGCAGUGGGGAAUAUUGGACAAUGGACCAAAAGUCUGAUCCAGCAAUUCUGUGUGCUUGAUGGAGGCCUUCGGGUUGUAAAGAGCUUUAAGUAGGGAAGAAGAAAGUGACGGUACCUACAGAAUAAGCGACGACUAAAUACGUGCCAGCAGCCGCGGUAAU